CCGGCACCUGUACCCAGCGUUCGCCGGGUGGGAAAAUCAGGCAAGGCGGGAGGCUCUGCACGGUGCUAGGCCUCGACACCCAACACGCCACUCUGAGGUGAUGUCCCGUGAGCAGGACACGUACUGCGUGGCCACGCGGCGGUUCACGCACACGAGAAUCUUCACGAGCUCCAACUGCGAGCUGUUCCUCAGCAGCUCUUCGCACAGCGACUGGAUGAACCAGGAGCCCCUCUCCUCAUUGCGCCACGAGUAGUACCCUGCAGGUGCGAGCCAGAGACAGACACGGCGUGCUCUGGUGCGUGACGUCAUUUAUGGACGGCCCCAAAGCUCGGCAGACCCUCCUGGAAGGAAAGAGUCGUGAGACUCCAGAAGAUCGAGACACCCCGAAUGCGCGCUGUGGGAUGAAGAGGACUGGGAAGCAGUGCAUUACAAUACACUUCUUAGGGAAACGUAUUUGAAUGAUAGGGCAGUUAAAAAAUGUAUAAAUUGUACUGUAACACUAUACGUAUAAAGAUCAUCUAUAUAUAGUAUAUAUGAAUUAUGUUGUUUAAAUGACGUACACAUUCCCGUCGCUGCAAUGAAUAUCUAAGAUGUGAAAUUGACCUCGAGCUAUGAAAGCCACUCAAGACUCUGUCGGUGUGUGUGUCGGUAUGGUAAGUACCUAAAUGCCACAAGAACCCACCGAAAACAACGCUUGAAUGUUCGAGCUCUUGGUGUGGAAGUUCAAGUUGAGUCCGUUGUGUUAGUCCCAGCUGAUGUAUGCUACGAUUGUAUCUGCUGACUUAUUUAUGAUAACGAUUUCUUCGGAUACCGCAUUGCUUGUAAAUAACGUGAACACCCGUGAUAGAAAACUAGUGUAGUCUGGAACAACUAUGUGUUUCAAACAACACGCAGAAAUGUGUCCAAACAAAAAACCGCUCAGCCUCGUAUUUUUAAAAAUUAUCAACAG